AUGGUGGCGGCGGUGGACGCGGUGGCGGAGAAGGUGGUAGCGCAGCUCCGGGAGGAGUGCGCGACCCCGGCGACGCGGCUGGAUGGCGUGGCGACGGCCAUGGAGGAGGAGAUGAGGGCUGGGCUGCACGAGGACGGCGGCAGCAAGAUCAAGAUGAUCAUCUCCUACGUCGACAACCUCCCCAACGGGAGUGAAGAAGGCUUGUUCUACGCACUGGACCUUGGAGGAACAAACUUCCGCGUGCUUCGUGUGCAGCUUGCUGGCAAGGACAAGCGCGUUGUCAAGCGUGAAUCCAGGGAGGUCUCUAUUCCUCCUCACCUCAUGUCAGGCAGCGCUGCGGAGUUGUUUGGCUUCAUCGCGUCCGCGCUAGCCAAGUUUGUUGCAGAUGAAGGAGAUAACAAAGUGUUGGACGGCAAGCAGAGGGAGCUGGGCUUCACGUUCUCUUUCCCCGUGAGGCAGUCGUCCAUUGCGUCGGGCACCCUGAUCAAGUGGACAAAGGCGUUUGCCAUCGAUGACGCGAUCGGCGAAGAUGUAGUCGCGGAAUUGCAGACGGCCAUGGAGAAGCAAGGUGUCGACAUGCGUGUGUCUGCAUUGAUCAACGACACCGUAGGGACACUGGCUACGGGCAGCUAUAACGAUGAAGAUGUUGUCAUCGGCGUGAUAUUAGGCACCGGCUCAAAUGCCGCAUAUGUAGAAAAGGCAGAUGCCAUACCCAAGUUGGAAGGAGAGUUACCAAAAUCAGGAAAUAUGGUUAUAAAUACCGAAUGGGGCAACUUCUCUUCUUCAUGCCUUCCGAUCACAGAAUAUGAUCAAGCAUUAGACAAGGAGAGCCUAAAUCCUAGAGAGCAGAUCUUCGAAAAGUUAAUAUCCGGAAUGUAUCUUGGUGACAUCGUGAGGCGGGUGCUUCUUAAAAUCGCCUCGCGGUCUUCGAUUUUUGGUCACAUUAAACGCACCAACCUCGAAACUCGCUUCAUUCUGAGGACUCCUGAUAUUUCCGCGAUGCACCAUGAUGAAACCCCUGAUCUGAGGAUUGUAGCUGAAAAACUGGCAGAAACCCUGAAGAUCAAAGACACGUCCUUGGAGACUCGGAAGAUGGUCGUCGAAAUCUGCGACAUCGUGACCAGCAGGUCUGCCCGGCUGGCUGCUGCCGGGAUUGUGGGGAUAAUCAGGAAGAUUGGUAGGGGCACCCCAGGCGACGAGAGGAGGACAGUCAUCGCGAUCGACGGCGGGCUGUUUGAGCAUUACGCCAAGUUCCGGCAGUGCCUGGAGAGCACGCUGGUGGAGCUGCUUGGCGAGGAGGCGUCGGAGUUGGUGGCGGUCAAGCUCACAAAGGACGGUUCGGGCGUCGGAGCUGCCCUGAUUGCUGCUGCUCACUCUCAGUACCUCAACUGA
rnacentral:rRNA from 1 species